AUCUCACAGGAGAUCCCUGCCUACUGGAGGCCUUCCAAAGGUCCUGUGUUAGUGUAUUACUGCCAGCAUCUUUCAGGAAGCAUUUGCAGCAAAUUCAGCAGUCCAGCAGAGCAGCCUCCAGGAUUCAUCCCGGUUUAUACCGCAGCAAGUGACAGGAGAGGAAAGCCCUUUGUGUUCUUCCAUGUAGUGAUGGACUGGCUGAUAAUGUUGCCCAUGGUGAUUUUUCAGCAGCUGGGGGGAAUUUUGAAAACGGUCUUGGCUGUUCUGGCAUGCAGUCAGAUGUGCUUUUGGUAUCAACAGCUCCUUUUUCUCAAGGUGUGCCUAGAUGCUCCACAUAUCCCUUCUAAGACAGGAGGCAGCGUUGGGCCAAUAGCACCCUGCUAAGUGCCAUCUGAAGAGCAUGUUUAGGGCAGUUUUCUGGUCCCAAAGCAGAAGGAGAGUGCUUGGUGCAGUGCUGUGUGCUGGCGAGCUCAGCCUGGAUAAUGUUGGCUAGGGGAAUGUGCAAGUCCAGGAUUUCGCUCUGUAGGGAGAAAGCAUUUCUGGACAACAGAGCAGCAGGUGGUAUUCUUCCUUAGUGUAAUGCUAUAGGUCAAUAACCUAGACUGUUUUCAGAAGAUCUAAACAUAUUACAAUUUGCUAUUGACUAAGUCAGAAGGAGGCCUUCGGAGACACCUAAUUAUGUGGAAAUGGCAGGCUCAGGAAAUACAAUUGAAUUUUGGGAGAAUAUGAGACACAAGUGGAAAUGUCAGUUGACUGUCUUUUGUUUAGUAACUCCCAGAAGAGAACAAGAUGAUAGUGUGUGCAAUGACUUGUCCAGUGUUGGAUGCUGUCCCUUAACAGUUCGUGCUAACAACAGAAGAUAUUUUUAAUUAAGGCUUUCCGAUAACAGUAUCAAUGACUGCCAAGAAUGCUUAAUAGGCCUUAUGUAUAUGAAAAAGAAGUAAUCUCUUUUCUGGUUUCUUGUAGAUUGUAUGAUUAAAAAAAAAAAUCUUUAAACAAUCAGCAGCUGACAAAAUAUAUACUGGGUUGCCAGCUUCCAUUUUACCUUUGAGACUUAAAGAAAUGGAAUUUCAUGAGCAAACUAAAAGAUCAGAUUCUGUGAUGGGAAGUAUGGAAAAUCUUCUGAAGGCCAAUAUUAAUGGUAUUGCACUUCUUUUUUUUUUAUUUUUUAAGCAAGUUGAGUAUAAAUAUUAAAAAUAUUGAAUUGGAAUACAAAAAGCAUCAGUUCCUGCACUUAAGGUUCUUAACUCUUAGAAAAGUGGCAAUGUUUGUUUCCAUAUGCUAAUGAUAUAUGUCUGUCUGUUUAUGAAUUGGUUGCUACUGAAAUGAACAACAUGUACACAUAUAUUACAACAAAAGUGGCAAUCUGACUCUUACUUUUAAUGGCAAAUGCAAAACACAUUUCCUUUUUUUUUUUUUAAUAUAGUGCUUCUUGUUGCAUGUAUUGCUGCACUGUUCUAGGUAUACUGUCUUUAAUUACUGUAACUCAAGUGCUUCUUGUUGGUCACCAAUAUGCAAAGAUCUGUAUCCAGUGUUAAUAGGAAUAAGACAAAAUAUUUCUACAACAGCCAUGAUGAGACAACUAAGUGUACAGGUGUAUGUGUUUCAAGAAAACAACAGUGAAUUUUACUUAGAUGUGCCCCACUAUUUGAUUUUGAAAGUCACUGGGAAGACUCUGAAUGAACAAAACAGUGAAAAUGUCAGCAGCUGGUUCUUUACUUGACAAAUUCAAUAAUGAAUACAAUGAAGAAAAUAGAAUGAUAUUUGAAUAUCUUCAGUAUUUGAUCUUGAUAAAAAGUGGUGAAGCAAACACUUUUGUUACAAGUUUGCACUACUCAGGGUUGAAAAUUCUAUGCUGUUUGUAGAAUUAAAUUAUAAAAUAUGAAGUUUCAGCGGAAUGAAUAUUGACCAAUGAAGAAAGUAAUGUAUUUCUAACAUGAAUAAAUCUAAUCAAUGCUAUAG
ensembl:lncRNA